AACCAAAGAUAAAUGCUAAGAUCGAACAGUAGGAAAAAAAUCGAUUUAAUUUUGGGGUAUUUUCAUUUUUAAUGAAACGGGGUCUUUUCAUCCGCGAACCCCUUGUUUUGAUAUUAAAUAGUUUAGCUUAUGCGCACCCCUCGGUAUAAUGUUUUGUUUUGAAACCUGUGUUUAUAUUUAUGUUGUUUCCUCACCAAGUUUUCUGCGGUCGCGUUUCGGUUCGCGUAUUUUCUUGCAUGGAUGCAAAUAAAAAACACAGUUUUCGCAGAUAAUCCGCGUUGCUGGCAGUGGCUAAUGGUUCUUCCGAUUCGCGCAGCGUGAUCCUUUCGGCAGACAGUGUAUCCGAGAUCCGGGCAGCAGUAGAGACUGCAGAGAAACAACGAUCCUGUGACUACAACGGUACUCGGAAAAAAGGAAUGGGUCUGUAAACUGAGCAGGCAACUCAUCACAACGUCUCGAACGAAUAUUCGAUCAGAAGAAAGACGAAUUCCAAAAAUUUUAUCUUCAGUUGGUCGGUCGAAAAGUCGGGAUUUCUCCUUUUACCCAUUCGUCAAACUGGGUAUCGUAUGGGCUCAGCAGAAUGAGUGCGUGUUCCGGAUUUUUCGCGACGAUUCCCUACAUAUCGGCCGACCGAUUCUUAGAAGUGAAUCGAAGCCAAAUGCAAAAGUGUUUCUUUUCACACUGCCACAUGAAUCACAUGCACGAAGUGCACGUCGUAGAUCCACUUAAAGAACUGCUACACAGUCGGAAAGCCUAUCCAAACUAAACGGGCUCUGUCAGGAGUGGCUCUCCCGGAGCCCUCAAAACGUAAUCACCUCGAACCGGCCCUAUACGGAUCGGAGACUCUGUUCAUCGAGCUGUCCGACCACUUUCGGCACAACAUCCACGUCAAACUACAGAGGAACUACAAUGCUACCGAUUCCAGGUCAGUAUAGGUAAUGCGGUUACUUCCGGCAAUCCCUCAGGCACACACGAAUCCUUCUCUGUCAGGGCACCCAUUCACUGUACUAGCGUCGACCGACGUUGGACGGGAAGUACAUCCGGCCGUCGACCAGCGUAGGCGUAUGCUCCCGGUGUAGAGGAAAUGUUAAGGGUAAAGACGUUUGUGCUUUGGAUGGCUGUGUGGAAGGAUCAUGGUACGGAACCAGCAACUUGGCAUGGAGGAUUUUCAUUGCCUGAAGCAGCUACGUCGUCCAGCAUCUCUAGUCAAUAUCAUCCAGCUACAUAAGAUCAAAACUCACAAUUCUACGUUGAAUAGGACCAAAUCGCACAGUUAUGUUUUAUUGUAUUUAUGUGUGGGUUUUGGUUACAAUAAUAAAAAGUAUUGGAAAGGGGUGGGGGAAGGGAAUUGUAUCGUAACGUAUCCGAAAAUUCAUCAUUGUUAUGAAGAGGAUGUAGAGGAUUUCUAGGUUAUACAUACUAAAUAUUUGUUGUAAGCAAUAGGUAAGGUUCACCAUGUUUUCUCAAUUUGCAAGGUGAUGCAAGAACUAUUUUCUUCUAAAAUUAGUCACGUAAAAAAACUAUUGUAGUUGUUCCAAUUGAUUGUAAAUUAAUUUUGCUUUGUGUUAGUACUUGUUCUAAGUAGUCGGUACCGUCAUCCGAGAACUUCUGAAGUUAUUAUAGAAUUUUUCAAGCGAUGUUUGCUCAUCGUCGAAAUUUGCUUUUGCCUUGUAGGUUCACCAAGUCCUCCCACCGCAUGGUGAAGCAAGUGUAGUUGACUUUUGGAAUUGGUUCCACCAUCCAAGAAUUUCGGGAGUUACUCCAGAAAUUCUUGGGUGAUGUUUGCUCAUCGUCAUAGUUUGCCUUUGCUUUGUAGGUUCACCAAGUCCUCCCACCGCAUGGUGAAGCAAGUGUAGUUGACUUUUGGAAUUGGUUCCACCAUCCAAGAAUUUCGGGAGUUACUCCAGAAAUUCUUGGAUGAUGUUUGCUCAUCGUCAUAGUUUGCCUUUGCUUUGUAGGUUCACCAAGUCCUCCCACCGCAUGGUGAAGCAAGUGUAGUUGACUUGGAAUUGGUUCCACCAUCCAAGAACUUCGGGAGUUACUCCAGAAAUUCUUGGGUGAUGUUUUCUCAUCAUCAUAGCUUGAUUUUGCCUUGUAGGUUCACCAAGUCUUCCCACCGCAUGGUGAAGCAAGUAUAGUUGACUUUUAGAAUUGGUUCCACCAUCCAAGAACUUCAGGAGUUACUCCAGAAAUUCUUGGGUGAUGUUUGCUCAUCGUCAUAGUUUGCCUUUGCUUUGUAGGUUCACCAAGUCCUCCCACCGCAUGGUGAAGCAAGUGUAGUUGACUUUUGGAAUUGGUUCCACCAUCCAAGAAUUUCGGGAGUUACUCCAGAAAUUCUUGGAUGAUGUUUGCUCAUCGUCAUAGUUUGCCUUUGCUUUGUAGGUUCACCAAGUCCUCCCACCGCAUGGUGAAGCAAGUGUAGUUGACUUGGAAUUGGUUCCACCAUCCAAGAACUUCGGGAGUUACUCCAGAAAUUCUUGGGUGAUGUUUGCUCAUCGUCAUAGUUUGCCUUUGCUUUGUAGGUUCACCAAGUCUUCCCACCGCAUGGUGAAGCAAGUAUAGUUGACUUUUGGAAUUGGUUCCACCAUCCAAGAACUUCAGGAGUUACUCCAGAAAUUUUUGGGUGAUGUUUGCUCAUCGUCAUAGUUUGCCUUUGCUUUGUAGGUUCACCAAGUCCUCCCACCGCAUGGUGAAGCAAGUGUAGUUGACUUUUGAAAUCGAUUCCA